AUUGAACGCUGGCGGCAGGCCUAACACAUGCAAGUCGAGCGGAUGAAGGGAGCUUGCUCCUGGAUUCAGCGGCGGACGGGUGAGUAAUGCCUAGGAAUCUGCCUGGUAGUGGGGGAUAACGUCCGGAAACGGGCGCUAAUACCGCAUACGUCCUGAGGGAGAAAGUGGGGGAUCUUCGGACCUCACGCUAUCAGAUGAGCCUAGGUCGGAGUAGCUAGUUGGUGGGGUAAAGGCUUACCAAGGCGACGAUCCGUAACUGGUCUGAGAGGAUGAUCAGUCACACUGGAACUGAGACGCGGUCCAGACUCCUACGGGAGGCAGCAGUGGGGAAUGUGGGAAAAUGGGCGAAAGCCUGAUCAAGCCGUGCCGGGUGGGUGAAGAAGGGCUUCGGAUGGUAAAGCACUUUAAGUUGGGAGGAAGGGCAGUAAGUUAAAACCUUGCUGUUUUGACGUUACCAACAGAAUAAGCACCGGCAAACUUCGU
rnacentral:rRNA from 1 species